rnacentral:rRNA from 1 species
GACAGAGGUGCCAAGCGUUAGGCGGAAUCACUGGGCUUAAAGCGUGUGUAGGCGGAUGCCUAAGUACCUUGUGAAAUCCCACGGCUCAACCGUGGAACUGCUGGGUAUACUGGGUGUCUUGGGUCAGCUAGGGGUUGCCGGAACAAAUGGUGGAGCGGUGAAAUGCGUAGAUAUUCGGAAGAACACCAGUGGCGAAGGCGACUCACUGGACACGUAUUGACGCUGAGGUGCGAAAGCGUGGGGAGCAAACAGG